CUCUCCUCUCUGUCUGCCCCUUUCUCUCUCUGUCUUCUCUUGCUGUUAAACAAUGACUGCAGGCAGACUAAAAGUAAUAUUUAUAAACUUUGUUGUGAUCAUUUGCCAGACUCAAUAUUUCAUCCAGCACAGCUGUUUUACUCCCCCAUUACGUACACCAGAUGCUGUAAUACUGUUCCUAAUUUAAGUGAGGGGUGUUCAGCUAAAGGCUGCUGCGGGUUCCCAUGCCAUAGAGCACUGACUUGCAGCUCAGCAGCACAUCUCUCCAGUAAACACCUCUGCAUGGGAACUGCUGAAUCACAGCCUGAACCAAUUGACCACCUGAGAUGAGCAAAAAGUCAGCCCUGGGAGCAGGUGAAGGCCUUGCUCCACCUCUCCAAGAUGCCUUUUAAGAGCUGACUCCCAGCAGGGAUGGAUUUCUUUUAGAGAUUGCUCCUCUUUGAGUCUUCUCAGUGAACCCAGGACAAGGAAAGAAAGGCUCCAAUGCAGUUCUGUAUAAAAGGCAAAAAGCACAUUUUCCCCUGAAACGUGGACCACAGCUGGAAGCAUUACUGUCCUUCAAGCAAAGAUUCCAAGCUGAGUUCACCAAACCCCAAAAGGAGGGAACUGUAAAAUAUAAAGCAAGUGCAAGUUCAAGAAAAGUCUGGAAAGCCUAGAGAGAUUGACACAAGGCAGACAGCCAGAAUUUCUUCCAAUUUACUGGGAAGAAGUUUUAUUGAGAUGUAUGAACGUGCUUGAACGUGGGAUUUUGAAGGCUGUUACCAAACCUAUGCAUAACAACAGCUAGAACAAUACAGUCAGGGUUGAAUGCUGUUCUCCCACUGAUACACCAAUAUUUGCCUGAAUAAAUACAUCUCAAGAGGAAAAGAGAAGGAAGAGUGCCCAAUAAGGUGCCCCUCUGUAUGCGCCAUGAACUCACAGACUGUAAUCAUGCUGCCCACAGCGUGUGUUGGACAUCCAGCAGUGCACAUCCAUGUCACACAGCCACAGACUGGAUGAGACUGGAAGGGAGCUCUGGAGGUCACCUCAUCCAACCUCCCUGCUCAGGAGGAGCCACUCAUCUCCAGGCGGCUUCUGAGCAUCUCUAAGGGUGCAGCAGCUCUGUGUUGGGAGAGGGGGCAGAGGUUGUGUAGCAUGGGAUCAGAGGGAUGUGCUCUACAUCCUAAAUACUACUUCAUCGUAGUAAAAAAUGAUGUUGGACUCAAAGGUGUAGGUGAUGAAAUGGCUGUGACAGUUAAGACUUGUCUCCCACAUAAUUUCUCUGGCUAUGGAGAACUGAAUUACACAGAAGUUUCUGCAUUCUGUCCUGUUCUGUUCCUGCAUCUUGCUCUUAACUGGAAUUUUUGAGGUGCUUUCUGAAGAGUUGCUGUGAGGCACUUACUGUAAAAAAGAACUUGAUCUAGCUCAGAAGGGACAGAAGCAUCACUUGGACAGGGGGAAACAACUCUGCACUUCUUGGCACCCCUGGCUCUGGGUGUAGAGCACUUGGUGGUAGGUGGGCUUGUGUGUGUAAAACUGCUCCAGAAUGUUUGCUGUGCAAAACUUUCCCUGAAGGAACAACCUCUGAUUUAGAUCUGAGCAAUGCAGGGGCUCUAGUUUAAGAAGUGUCUGUAGGAGAGAGAGUCUGUGUAGGAGAUUUCAUACUAUACUGAAUUUCCUUGUUUUUCAUAUGAAUAAAAACCCUCGUAUGGUGGAUUUUUGUGUAAUCUAAUUAAGAGCCACCUGAAAAUGAAGAAGCUUGGUUGGCUUGUUUAAAAAGAACAGAACAACCAUAAAAUGGGCACCAGGAUGGCUGGAAUCUAAUCAAAAUUAGGUGUUUUUUAUGCUGAGCUUGUCUUUAAGUACUGACAGGGAAAAGCCAGAAAGCUUCAUCAGAAAAAGAAAGAAGGCAGCUAGAAGAAAAGAUCCUUCAAAAAAUGGUGUCCAAAGAAGAAAAAAUGGAAAAUAUGAUAAACUCUGACAUGUUAGGUAUAAAACUAAAGUAAAGCAAGUCAAAAGAAGAUACUGAGGAACAAUUUUCUAAUGGCAUAAAAACCACUAAUAACUUUUUCCCAGUGUGUGAGAGGCAAGGAUCCUGCCCGUGUCUAUAGGGCCACCUGAUGAUGAAGUUGUAAAAGAAGCACAUGAAAGAUAACACAGAGCAAAGCUCUAUCAAUUCUUUUCCUUACUGCUUACAGAGGUGCCUAGGGAUGUUCCCACACAGGACCUUCUUUAUGGGGAACGAAUCUGAGAAACUGCCUCCAAUUCAAGCACUGGAAAAAUGUUUUUUAAUAUAAACUGAUAAACAAAUUCACUGGAGUCAGUCAGAAAUCAUGGCUGAAUACCGUGGUGACUUGAAUUGUCAGGGUCAUCAUUUAAAUCUGUGCUGUCUCACAGGGAUGAGACGUCGCAAAUAUCAUUUCAUUUUUAAGGAGCCCUCCUUAAAGAGUCCUUCAGGGGCCUCCUUGCAGGGCUACAGACAAACGGACACGUGGAAGUAGCUUUGUCCUUACCACCCCCCCAAAAAACAGGACUGAAAAAUUGAGCUGUCUGUUAGAGUUUGUUUUGCUGUCACUCCUAUAAACAGGAUAAGGUGAUUGCAAAUUCAUUGAUGUUCCAUCAAAUGUUAAUUAAAAUGGCUUUGCAGAUAUCAUUGAACCGGGGAAUGCCUCAAUAUCCUCCUGGAAGCAAAAGGAAGUACAGCUCAGAAGGUGCUUAUCUUCCCCAAGGAGUCUGCUCCUGGUCACUGUCCAUAGCACAAGAUGAAGUCAAGGUGAGACAGUGACAUUAUUUGUGUUACGCUCAGAUUGGAGCCUCCUCUUGUAAGAGCACAGAUUUUCUGAAUUUAAGUUACUCCAGAGUCUGUGAGCUUAAAUACGAAGAGUCAACUUAUUAAUGCAGCAGUUCCUUGUUUAUACAUUUAAGCUUUAACAUCAGCCCUGGCAACAGCAUAAAACACAAUCAAAUUGUAUUUGUGCAGUGAUUAUUCUUGUCCUGUGUAAUUACUGGUCCCUCAGAUAAAAUCUCAAGCUACUUUAUUGAAGCUGGGAAUUGAAACCACAGAGAGAAUCGGCUAUCUAUGUACAUCAAUAAAGCGGUCCAUUAAUUAUUUCCACCUACUCAACUUGAAGAAAAUUACCAUACUAAUGCCUCUGGGUAACCACAUGACCUGCUCUGCUUCUCCAUAACAGCUAAACGUAAAGUCAUAAAGGCUCUGAGAGAUAAAUCGGGGACACUAAAGAAAUGGCAGCACAGAAUGGCAUUCAGGGAAGUAAUUGGUCACAGAAAUCUCCAGACAGCAUUAACAUCAGACAGAAUCACAAUGCCUUCAAACUUCAGAACUGAAAGUAUUCCGAUUUCUUUUCAACAAGCAGAAAGUUAAUAGCUGAAAUAUAUCACCAAGAAUUAGACAGCAUCUCAUUAUUCAAAAUGUGAUGAAAAGUAAAAAUUUUCACCAAUCAAUCUUGAAACAUUUCAGAAAGUAAAAAUCGAACAGAGGUCAACGGCAGCGGAUCACGUAUGAGUAGUUUCAUACUGGUCUGUUCAAAUGCCAUCUUCCUUGAUGGAAUCCCUUGAAGGACUCUCAAUGACAGAAAAAGUUCACAGCUGCAUUGGCAAACCAAGGGGGAAAAAACAACAGAAGGGGCAUGGAAGGGGUUAAGAUUCUGGAAAUACACUUUUAUUUUUUGCUGUACGUUUAAUACAGGCACCCUGCAAUACCUUUCUCAAUUUUCCUUUUAAAUUAUAGCCGCUCAAUUCUGCCUAAUUAAGCAUUUUCUUUAAUGAUAAGGGUAUUGCCUGAGAAGAGGUAUUUAGUAAUCACAAUUAGUGACCUCUAAGCCUGCAAGGCAUUUGCUUAUUUUCAUAUAAAUAUUUGGGAUACCAGCAUAGAAAACAGCAUUAUUUUCUUUGUUGCACUGAUUAAAAUAGACUGAUUCACAUUCAUAAACUAUGCUAAUCAUAAAAUAAACAGCAGUUACACUAUAGUAUGUAAUUGGAUUUUAUGUGCCACAGUGUGGUCAGUUAAUGCAUACAAUAAAGCUGAAGAAUCAGGCGGUACUUUAAUCUUUCCUGAAAAAUGGAUCAGCUGCUUAUAGGUGAUUUUCACACCUCUCAUGUAUCUGUAGGCACAGUCCUAUCCAACUCCAAGACUGAGCAACUCCAGGGCUCAGCUCCACUGUCCCUCCAGAGCCAUUGGUG